rnacentral:lncRNA from 1 species
CAAUGGAGUCUGAGCACUGUAUGACCCAUGCAGGUUAUGAACGCGCAGUUACUGUCCAGUGCAGCAUCCGUACACCACCUUCAAUAGCUAUUUGUGUAACCUGAAGCCUUGAUCUUGACACACCAGAAGAUAACAGGUAAGAGUUUACAUUCUACACAAGAUAUUUGCGGCUGAAACUUGCUUUAUCUGAUUUUAAUAUCCACUUCCUUUUUCUUUUCUUUUUUUUUUUCUUUUUUCUUUUUUUUUUUUUAAUAGUAUGUACCUGGAUACCAUACAUCUCAGUUGUGCAGCCCUACAUUUGAGAAUGCCUGAAAGGAGACUGUAUUGACUGUUUUUCAGAGCUUUUUACAGGGCAUCACGGACCACUGGAAAGAGAUAUACACAAAGGUAACAUUAACAGACGUUGCCUUGGUGGUGGGAAAUUCUUGAUGAGGAGCAGAGCAGUCAGCAAGAAGAUCUCCUGUCCCUCACAGCUGGGGAAUGAAGGAAGCAAGUCACCAUGUCCAGGUCUUGUGAAUUUACCCUUUAGUUAAUGGUUCUCUGGAAGUUUGUUCAUUUCUUCUCCAUUUGUGAGCCAGCAGACAGGGGAACAGAAUCUGGCUAUGUGUGUGACUUUAAAAGGUACCGCUGAAUUGCAAAGAAAGACAUCUUAUGAUUUGUCUUACUGAGAUGCAUUGGAAACCAGAUUGAAAGUAUAUUUUUGUUUUUCAGGGGCUGUAGCAUUGAGGCAGUACAGACUAGAGCCUGUUAGCCUAUCCUAGUUCCUGUGCGCAGAUGAGCUUGAAUAGUUCUUCCAUGUUGCAUCCAGUU